AGAGAGAGAGAGAGAGAGAGACAUACCAAUUGCCAGUGUAAUUCCAGUGUCUGAGGGUUUCUUCCAGCCGCAGAUGACCAGUCAGGAUCCAGUCUGGCAAGAAGGAAUGAUUUGGAGUGCUGCUGAGCCAUGGAGACACAUGGAACCUGAUACCAAGACGUCUACAUCAGCGACAAUUCUAAAAUAACAAACAUGUCAGAAGUAUUUCUGUCACGCUCUCUCUGCCUCUGUUGAUUGUUUACGACUCGCUGAAUUCACUCUGUAAGUGCUUCGGAUCGUGAGCAUAUU
rnacentral:lncRNA from 1 species